UAGCGGGUUAGGUUUGGGUGCUGGGCUGGGUUUAGGUCCAAGUUAGUUAGAGGGUUGGGUAGUUAGCUUUUGGAAUUAAUUCCAAUGGCUUGGUUCAAAUUAAUUCCCAAACAAUUUCAAACAAGAGCCAUUCAAUCCAAAUUUAAACAAGGAGAACUUCAUAAGAUGCAAAUGAACUCCAAAUAAUUCAUACUAGCAAAAAUAGCCCCUUACAUUUAUUUGAUUUUAUUUUACUAGUAAUUUGGGGUAGAGAGUGGAGUCAACCUUAAGUUAUUCUAUCUAUUUAUCACAUGCUCACGAAUUUUUUUUGAAAACUAGUAUUUUUGGAGUAUAUAACAUUCCGUAAAAAUACGAGAUGUUACACUCUCCUAUAUUGGCUAGGGUUUGAUCUCCUCUCUCCUGAUUCCUAGAUCUUAUAUAGACCUUGAUGAUCUCUCGUCUGAUUGGCUGUCAUCUCCAAGAUUCACAACCUGCUGAUCACUUCACUCGACACUAUUGGCCCAGAGGAUAGAGCAAGGGGAACCCUGGAGAGAGUGAUGUCGCAGGCGCUGCUCAAGGAGCGCCGAAGACGAUAAAACAUGUGCGCCGUCUGCUUGGCUGUAGCAGGCGUCAACCAUCCAAUUGAUUAGCAGAGAAUGCUGGAAUGGCUCGGACAAUUUUUUUCCAAGGAGAUUUUCCCAAGUCAUGUCAGACUGUUUGUCCAGAACGACGCAGUGGAACAUUAGCAAGUGGAACCAUGGGCAAGCUCCACGGGUGCAUUCUGAUCGCAGGGAUAGGGACAAUAGC